rnacentral:rRNA from 1 species
GUGGGAUCGGGUGAGCGGCGGAGGGUUAGUAACGCGUGGGAAUAUGCCCAAAGGUACGGAAUAGCCUCUGGAAACGGAGAGUAAUACCGUAUGUGCCCUUCGGGGGAAAGAUUUAUCGCCUUUGGAUUAGCCCGCGUCUGAUUAGAUAGUUGGUGGGGUAACGGCCUACCAAGUCGACGAUCAGUAGCUGGUUUGAGAGGAUGAUCAGCAACACUGGGACUGAGACACGGCCCAGACUCCUACGGGAGGCAGCAGUGGGGAAUCUUGGACAAUGGGCGCAAGCCUGAUCUAGCCAUGCCGCGUGAGUGACGAAGGUCUUAGGAUCGUAAAGCUCUUUCGCCAGGGAUGAUAAUGACAGUACCUGGUAAAGAAACCCCGGCUAACUCCGUGCCAGCAGCCGCGGUAAUACGGAGGGGGUUAGCGUUGUUCGGAAUUACUGGGCGUAAAGCGCACGUAGGCGGAUUAUUAAGUCAGAGGUGAAAUCCCGGGGCUCAACCCCGGAACUGCCUUUGAUACUGGUAAUCUUGAGUUCGAGAGAGGUGAGUGGAAUUCCGAGUGUAGAGGUGAAAUUCGUAGAUAUUCGGAGGAACACCAGUGGCGAAGGCGGCUCACUGGCUCGAUACUGACGCUGAGGUGCGAAAGUGUGGGGA